rnacentral:rRNA from 1 species
AAUGAACGCUGGCGGCGUGGUUAAGACAUGCAAGUCGAACAGGCUUAUUGAUGUAGCAAUACAUUAAUGAGUCAGUGGCGAACGGGUGCGUAACACGUGAACAAUCUACCAUUUAGUGUGGAAUAGCUCACCGAAAGGAGAAUUAAUACCGCAUGUGGUUGUUUCCCGCAUGGGAGACAUACUAAAGUCAGGGACCGCAAGGCCUGACGCUAAUUGAGGAGUUCGCGGCCUAUCAGCUAGUUGGCGAGGUAACGGCUCACCAAGGCUAAGACGGGAAGCUGAGCUGGGGGGAUGUUCAGCGAAACUGCAACUGAGACACGGUCCAGGCACCUACGGGUGGCAGCAGUUUCGAAUCAUUCCCAAUGAGCGAAAGCCUGAUGGUGCGACGCCGCGUGAGGGAUUAAGGUCUUCGGAUUGUAAACCUCUGUCACUGGGGAGAAAACGCUUUGAGUUAAUAGUUCAAAGCCUGAUUUAACCCGGAGAGGAAGCAGUGGCUAACUCUGUGCCAGCAGCCGCAGUAACAC